rnacentral:rRNA from 1 species
GAUGAACGCUGGCGGCAGGCCUAACACAUGCAAGUCGAACGAGUGGCGGACGGGUGAGUAAUGUCUGGGAAACUGCCUGAGGGAGGGGGAUAACUACUGGAAAAGGUAGCUAAUACCGCAUACCAUCGGAUGUGCCCAGAUGGGAUUCGCUAGUGGGUGGGGUAACGGCUAACCUAGGCGACGGUCCCUAGCUGGUCUGAGAGGAUGACCAGCCACACUGGAACGUAGACACGGUCCAGACUCCUACGUGAGGCAGCAGUGGGGAAUAUUGCACAAUGGGCGCAAGCCUGAUGCAGCCAUGCCGCGUGUGUGAAGAAGGCCUGCGGGUUGUAAAGUACUUUCAGCGGGGAGGCGUUACCCGCAGAAGAAGAACCGGCUAACUCCGUGCCAGCCGCCGCGGUAAUAC